AUUGAACGCUGGCGGCAUGCCUUACACAUGCAAGUCGAACGGCAGCACGGACUUCGGUCUGGUGGCGAGUGGCGAACGGGUGAGUAAUGUAUCGGAACGUACCUUUCAGUGGGGGAUAACGUAGCGAAAGUUACGCUAAUACCGCAUAUUCUGUGAGCAGGAAAGCAGGGGAUCGCAAGACCUUGCGCUGAUUGAGCGGCCGAUAUCAGAUUAGCUAGUUGGUGGGGUAAAGGCCUACCAAGGCUACGAUCUGUAGCGGGUCUGAGAGGAUGAUCCGCCACACUGGAACUGAGACACGGUCCAGACUCCUACGGGAGGCAGCAGUGGGGAAUUUUGGACAAUGGGGGGCAACCCUGAUCCAGCCAUGCCGCGUGAGUGAAGAAGGCC
rnacentral:rRNA from 1 species